UGUCACGCCCCUCAAAAUAUUAUCCAUGAUAUUAAAACAAUUUUCAUCACAGACCAAUCCAUCCAGGAUCCAAACUAACGUUUGAGGACACUGAAAAACAUUCAAUCAAAUUCACAUCCAUAAAACCUGUGCAUUUUAAAAUCAUAUAUCACAUCACUCGAUAAUUCACAUUUAUGGCAACCCAAGCCAAUUUGACAAACAUGAACAACAUUUAUAAAUCCACAAGCUAAAUAAAUUAUAUAAUCAGAACUCCAACUAUUCACCACAAGUUCAUAUCGUCAUAAAUUAGACUUAACAUUCCGAAAUUCCAAAUAAGAGAGAUCUUCUAACACUUUUACACAGUAUAUCCAUUUCGAUUCAUCGACAACAUUUCAUUACAUACAAAACAUACUUAUACAACAAUAUCAAAAUAACCACCCAAACUUGCCCAUAAUUCUGAAUAGCUAUCCAUUGCCU
rnacentral:lncRNA from 1 species